rnacentral:rRNA from 1 species
UACUGAGGUCCCAAGCGUUGUUCGGAUUCAUUGGGCGUAAAGGGUGCGUAGGCGGCGCGGUAAGUCGGGUGUGAAAUCUCGGGGCUUAACUCCGAAACUGCAUUCGAUACUGCCGUGCUUGAGGACUGGAGAGGAGACUGGAAUUUACGGUGUAGCGGUGAAAUGCGUAGAUAUCGUAAGGAAGACCAGUGGCGAAGGCGGGUCUCUGGACAGUUCCUGACGCUGAGGCACGAAGGCCAGGGGAGCAAACGGG